UACGGAGGGUGCGAGCGUUGUCCGGAAUCACUGGGCGUAAAGGGUGCGUAGGCGGCUUUGUGAAGUCAGUGGUGAAAUAUGGCAGCUCAACUGUCAAGGUGCCAUUGAUACUGCAGAGCUUGAGUACAGAUGAGGUAGGCGGAAUUGACGGUGUAGCGGUGAAAUGCUUAGAUAUCGUCAAGAACACCUAUAGCGAAAGGCAGCUUACUAGGCUGUAAACUGACGCUGAGGCACGAAAAGUGUGGGGGAUCAAAACAGGG
rnacentral:rRNA from 1 species